AUGAAGAUUGACGAUCCCCUCGACUUCGAGGGGGAUAACGACCCCCUCCUCACCGUCCGCCGCCCCGCCAAGAGGAAGAAGGUUAUUGAGCUGGAUGAUCUCGUAGAAGAUUACUUUAAUUCCGGUAAGGAUGAGCUCAAAGCUUCUGCUGCUAAGUCUAAGGGUCGCCCCAAAGGAGACAAUUCAGAUGAUGAAGACAAGCAGGUCAGGAAGGAGAUUGACUUCUGCAAAUUUGUGGAGGAGUGUGAGGAGAAGGCGAAAGCGAUGGAUCCUGGAGAGGAUGUACCCCAAUGGGGCCAGCAAGUUUUCGGCUGUCAGAAAUCACCCUCAGGUCUUAAUGGCACGGGAGUUGAAAAUUGCCAACUUUUGCAAUCAUUCUGUGGAGAUAAGCAGUUAGGUUUUGAUCUAGAAAUUGAACGAGGAGAGGGCUUUUUAGAAGGCAUGCUGAUCAAUGGAUGGCUUUUGAAGUUGGUACUCCUAUAUGGUUCUGUUGAAGACUCUAUAGCAUCAUGGGUGCUAACCAAGUUGCUGUACUCAUCCAAUAAGAAGUUGCAAGAUUCUGCAUCUGAAUUUUGGGAUAGUCUCCUUUCCCUAAAUGAGGAUGAUAAACCAUUGGUAAACUUUGGAUACUUCCCAAGCUACUCUAUUCUUAUGGGUGCUAUACUCAACUAUGGAUACCUACAUGAUGCUCCUUGCACUAAAACUUGCACCUCUGAAAUUGCGGUUGCAGACACUUCAGAUGGUGGUCCACCUCAAAACAUCACUGCAUGGUUAAGAGUUGUAUCUGCUUGCUGCAAAAUUAGAAAAAUGCAUUCUAUCUUCUCACCUUCGGAAGCGCAAGAUGUCCUUGUUAUUGUUAUUUCCCUCUUUUUGGACCGUCGACUUGAAGGGCUGCUGCUUAUUUUGGGAGAUUGCCUGAAUUCACUCAUCUCGUACUUCAAUACGAGUGAAUGGGAAAGUAGCUGUCUGAUGGUUGCUGAGUCAAUUUCUAAGAGGGUCAACAUGGAUCUUAAUUGUUUAAGGCUUGUUGACUGCAUUACCGGAACCAACGACCAUAGCAAAUUCCUAAGGAGCGAGCUGGCCCUUCAGUUGCUCAAAAAUAGCUUCGGCCUUAAAGUAAGCAUGGUGGCGAAUGUUGAAAGGAUCCUGAAGUCGGUCACAUCGAUAAAUGUGAAGGAGAAAGAAUGCAAUUUCUUUGUGCUCUACAUGCACAUAGUUUUGGUGGACAACCUGCUCUUCUCUAGCGACGCGUUCAGAAACAAGACCGCAAUAAUCGACGCUUGGCGUAAUUUUCUACGGAACUGCUCGACCCAGAUAGGAUGCACGGACUGGAGGUUCUACGCUUCGAAGGUCCGAAACAAGGCGUCGUAUCUCCUGCAAGGUGCAAUGCUGAAAAGGCCUGCUGGCAGUGGUAGCAUUCCUGCCAAGUGA
rnacentral:rRNA from 1 species